ACCAACCAUUCAUAGAAGGAAGGGUCCUUAGGGUCUCUGGCCCCAUCACUUCAUGUGAUUGAUAGAAAGGCAAUGCCUUCUCACCCUUUCCUACUCUGCUGAUCUCAUUUAAGAGAAUGGGAGGCCAGAAUAAGCAAACCACAGCUUCCCAGAGGGACAGGAAUAAAUUCCAGCUGGCUAAAUUCCAGUUUGCACAUGAAGAGCUUCCUGAUGGUAGAUGGGUGCACAAGGUGGGUGGGAGCUGCAGCACCAUUCAGGACAGCAUUUCCCACAGCAGUGCAGUCUGUCGCAGGAGUAGCAACUCAUAAAGCGGGGGUUGGCCUUGCUCUGGCCUCAGGCUUAGUGAUUUGCUACUGCAAACCUACACAACAGGGAGUCCCUGCACCACCACUGGCCAGAGAGUUCUGGCUUUCUGACCAUGGGACUGCAGCCCAAGGCAUGGCAGGUGUCCAGCCAGCAAUCCAGAGAGAUGCAGCCCAAGGACCACUUAGAACCCUUUGGACAAUUUUAGGGCCGCUCCCUAAAUUAUUCUUCCCAACCAAGGUAGGCCAAAAAAAAAUUGCUGGUUCCUGGAAGUGACCAAAACUGUCCUCCAAUUGAAUCAGCUAGGACAGCAGAGAAAGCUUUCAUUAUUAAGGGGGCAGAGGGGUAGACUUGCAAGCUCAUCUAAACCAACUCCUUCAAAACAGCCUCCAAAUAUUUCACCCUACAAGGGAUGGGGAACUCCGGAAGACUGGCAUCAGCCGAUAUGGCUGAAUAGACUGCAGGUUUGGAAUCCAAAUGUGUCUACAAAUGUUCACUGAUUGAUUGUCAUUUUGUUCUCCCCACAUUUUAGUUUUGCUCAUUUUACAGCCCACAGCCUGUCUUGUGGAAUAAAUGAUACAAGCAGUUGAAGAAGGCACACUGUGCACCAAGGGGACGACUCAGGCAGUCUGCAGCGGUGGUCCAGGGCUACUCAGCUCAGCCUCAGUCACCUGCAAUGAAAACCACCUCUUGCCGUCAGAGUCAAUGACUCUGGUUUGUAGGAAAGAAUUCAUAUCUUCACAGCAAAAAUAAAAAUAAAAAAGGAGGGGGCAUGUUUUUAAUAUCAAACUGGCCAUCAAAGUGUUCACUGACCUUUAAUAACUGAUCUUUUCAUUUUGAAAUAUAGGGUUCAAUAAGGAUGGUCCAGAAAUCACUUUUAUUUUACUCAAGGGCUGUGAGGCCUCUACCUCAGGAGUCUCGGUUCUGGUGAGAGCAGUGUUUUGGGAGGCAUUGUGUGAGACACACCAGUUGGAGCAAAGUUCCCAAAGGCCAAGGGGGCCUAUCACAGUCACCUUGUGCUACCAAAGCACUGAGCAGCCAAGCCCCUAAGCAGAACAGCAGGGGAGAGGCCCAACAAGCCAGUGUCCCUAGAGCUCUAGGCCAUUACCCCCUGUGCUGUGUUCUGAGAUGAGGCUGCUCUCCCACUGCUUCCCCAGGAAAACAAUGCCCUAGUGUGGUCUCACAGCCUUCUAGGAGUCAGCGGAGGACUUCCAUUGAAAAUAAUGGAAAUUCACAUUGGUGUACUUUCGAUCCUUAAAAGGAACACACGUGACCAGGAAAGAUGCCCAAGGAUGGCAGCUGCCUUGCAGCCAAGCAUGGGUCAGACACACCAAUAUGGCAGCUUGACAUCCAGAGCCCAACCCAGUCCAAGGAGAAAAACAAGAAACACCUGCAAAGACUAAAUUCCCAGGUCCCAGAAGGAUGGACAAAUGUUUGGUGUUGACUUCAACAGCCCAGAUGAGAUUAAGUGACUUUCCCAAUCCUGCCAAGAAGCCUAGAAAGUGAGUAUUAGUCCCAUGAGCUGUCCCCAAGGCCUCACGGCCCCUGUGUUCUCAGAGGAGGCUGCCCUCUAGGGCUCAGCUGACCUCUGGGCUGAACUACAGUCCUCCCAGGGCAUCAUGGUCCUGGCAGGCAACUUGUUCCAUCCUCUGUCCCACAAGCUUCCUUUUCUAUUUCUACCUGGGCCUACGCACCAAUCCCUAAAUAAGGCCUCCCCAGACUAGACUUCAACACCCCAUCCCUUCUGAGGCCUGCCCCCCAUUCCCCUUAUGAAAAAACAUGGUGGGGGGAGCUCAUGCUCUUUAAAGGGAGCAGGAAGAUGAAGGCUCCACUCCACUGUCAAAUGGCCGUGAGUUAGCCUUUUGCCUAUACCUGUCAUCCCGAAUGACCAGGGCCCUCUGUGGGAGCCACAGGUUCCCUGUGGGAACGAUCAUGCCUUCCAGGUAUACAAAUGUGCCAGGCUUUCCCCAAGCACAUCCACAGUUGGUUGUGUUCAUUGAUCCCCACAACGCGGUGAGAUGGGCAAGGAUGUGGUAUUCCUCUUGGGAAUACUGGGGCUCAAGAGAAGUGAAUCGAUUUGACAGAGCCGCACUGGAAACCAGGUCUCUGAUCACCAGUUGAGUACUCUUCCCUUUCCCCCCUCAGCAGAAGACCUUCCACAUUUGAGAACUCAGUACCUGAGAACAGUUAAUGAUUCUUUGCAAACAACCUGAAGAUUCACAACAUGCAGUAAUUUACAA
rnacentral:sRNA from 1 species